rnacentral:tRNA from 1 species
GGUCCCAUAGCGUAAGGGCCAGCACUCAGGGCUUUAAACCCUGCGAUCCAAGUUUAUGUCUAAGUGGGACCU